UACGUAGGGUGCGAGCGUUGUCCGGAAUUAUUGGGCGUAAAGGGCUCGUAGGCGGUUUGUCACGUCGGGAGUGAAAACUCGGGGCUUAAACCCCGAGCCUGCUUCCGAUACGGGCAGACUAGAGGUAUGCAGGGGAGAACGGAAUUCCUGGUGUAGCGGUGGAAUGCGCAGAUAUCAGGAGGAACACCGAUGGCGAAGGCAGGUCACUGGGCCGCAACUGACGCUGAGACGCGAAAGCGUGGGGAGCAAACAGG
rnacentral:rRNA from 1 species